rnacentral:misc_RNA from 1 species
UACUGACAUAAUCUGUUCUUUUACAAUGUAUUUGUUUCCUCAUCUGACAUUAUCCCCAUGGUGACAAUAUGGAUAAGUGACCAAAGGGGUUAUACAAUACCUUCCUGAUGUUUCUGCUUCACUGCUUUCAUUGUGUUGUUGUGACCUGUGUUCUAGUUUCUCCUUCGUGGUACAAUAAGUACAGGUGGACAAGACAUUUGACAGUCACUUGUAAGGUACAGGAAACUGUUUAUCACCAAUGAGGAUCUGUUGUUAGGAAAAUGUGAAAGUUCGUAUAAGAAGGGAUGACUUUAGGAGAACCUCAAAUGGCAAGCUCAGAUGAGUGUUGCUGUGUCUGCAAGCAGAAGGUCCACUAUUACAGCCGACAUGGAAAAAAUUGGCUGUUCUUCUGCUCUGAGCAGUGUCAACAAAAGUAUUGUAAGGAGAAACAAAUUCCCCCCAUGAUUCUAGUGGAGACAGAAAGUCAGACUGAUGAAGAAGAUGAAAAUGACCAAGUAUCAAAAAUUUUCAAGCAUAUCAAAUCCAAUGACCACACACAGCUGGUAGACAAACUUCAAGUUCUUAAAAAGAAAGAAUUGGAUCAGGCCAAACUGAAAGGUGUCCCUCUCUUGUGUUACGCUGUGAAGGUCGGAAGCUUUAGAAGUAUACAAGUGUUACUUGACACUGGAAUAGAUGUCAAUCAAACUUGUGACAAUGGAAAGACAGCUUUAAUGUUGGCAUGUCAGCAAGCAUCUGCAGAAAAGGUGCAGAUGCUCUUGAAUUGUGGUGUUAAUCUGCGCCUUCAGGAUGCUGAGGGUCAGACAGCUUUACACCUUGCCACUCUGGCUAACAAGGGAGCCUCCUGUGCAGGCUUAUUACUGAAAGCAGAUCACUCUAUGGCAUCAAUUUGUGACAAAUAUGGCCAAUCAGCUUUGCACUUGGCUGCUAAAAGGGGUCACCUGCCUCUAGUUCAGCUUUACCUGUUACAUGAUCGUCAGGGAGUGAAAGAGAAAGACAAUCUUGGAAGACUGCCUCUUCACUGGGCAGUUCAAGAAGGAAGGACAAACUGUGUGGAGUACCUGCUUGGAUUUGAAAACACUAUGGUAAUUGAUGAAGUUGAUGAUCUUGGAAAUACACCCAUUCAUCUUGGUAUUCAACACAACAAGCAGCAAGCUGUAGAGACAUUGGUUGAUAAGGGUUGCAAUUUAGAUGUUGUAGAUGAUGAUGGGAAAACCCCAUUGAUGCUUGCCUUACAUUUGGGCAAGAAAAAUAUAUUCAAUAUGAUUGUGCAAAAGCAAGGACCACUUAAGGCAGAUGCAGGAGAUGAACAGGGAAUGACAGCUCUUCAUCAUGCUGCUGAUGUUGGCAACUUGGACUUCUGUAAAACACUUGUAGAAGGUGGGGCCAAGGUUGACACACUAUGUAAACUGGGACGUUCACCCAUCUUUUACUGUGUAAUGAACGGCCACACAGACUGUGUGAAAUAUCUGAUGGAUAAGAGAGCAGACCUCUAUAUAAUUGAUAAUCCAAAAAGACUCCCCCUCCAUUAUGCUGUUGCAAACGGUCAUGUAGAAACAACAAAACUUCUGAUUUCUUCUAUCAUAGACAUGAAAACAGUGGAUGAAAAAGCAUAUCAGAGUGUUCUUCAAGUAGCUGCAUUGAGUGGACAAGAGGUGAUCCUGCAGCUUUUGUUAAAGCAAGGCGUAGACUGUGAAAGGAAAGACACUGAAGGGUGUACUGCUCUCCAUCUGGCUGCUGGGGAAGGACAUACUAAGUGCUGUGACAUCUUGAUCCAGCAUGGUGCUCAGGUCAAUCCUGAAGACAAUUCCAAUGAAAGAAACACACCACUUGAUUUUGCUUACAAAAAGGAGCAUGCAGACACAGCAGAAUUCCUCAGAAGCAAAGGUGGUGUCACAAAUGGAGACCGAAAAGAACAGGCUGUAAUGGAAUUUCGUAGAAAACAUGCAGCAAUUGUUAUUCAGAGAGCAUGGCGAUAUUAUUGGGGACGAAAACGCAUUGAGCACACACGAGCUGCCAGAGUAAUCCAGGCUGCCUGGAGAGCCUAUCAAAAGAAAAAAUGCCAAAGAAAAGACAAUGAAGAAUUUGGUGUAAUACCUGCCAAGAAGAAAGAGAAAAAGAAAGAAAAAGGCAAACCAGGAUGGAACAGUUCAACGGUUAUCAGGCAUACUCCACCUCCAUCAUAUAGUAUGUUUGAUAUGCUAAACAAGAACAAAAUAGGUACAUCUAAUCCUGCCAGAAUGACCUCCUAUGUACAGAUGUUUAAAAACAGUGCUGCAAAUGGCAGUUAAAGCUGUAUAUAAUGUAUAUACAGUGUAAUAAAAUACACAAGAUUUCAUUGGAUAAUGAUGAAUAAACACUAUGGUUAAGUGUACAUUGUUUUAAUUCAGUAUAAUUGUAAGAAGUUCAGGAUACUAUUGGAUUUCUUUGUUCAUAAAGAUAUUUUAAUGCCCUAAAGGUUUGAAGCAGCUGGACUGCUUUAGGUGUACUAGCAUGCUGUAUUUAUGCAGUGAUGUAUACAAUUCCUUGAUUUAAAUUCCUCAAUUACAAAUUGUCAUAAAUUGUGUCACUGUAUUUGAACUAAUUACGUAAGUAACUUCAGUGCUGUUACAUACUAGUUAUAUUCUUUUUAAAAACAUGUUUGGAAUGGGCAUUAUCUGAGAUAGCCAGAAUUUGGCAGGAUUUUGAGGAGAGUGGGGCCAAAAAUAAAGGUUCAAAAUCAGCUACAAAUAAAAGCUGACACAGUUUAUCUACAAAUAUGUUAAAUAUGUUUCUUUUUGUUUUCUUAUGCUUAUGGCAGUCUAUAUAUAGAAUGCCAUAAGCAUAAGAAAACAAUAUAUGUAUAUAUAACAAAAGUACAGAUUCUCUGUAUACACAGUUUUUGUACAAAGAAAUUCCCAGUGCAAAGAGUUUUACCCAUAUAGCUUACAAUAUAGGGAUUCUUUCACUUUAUCUAGACUCACUUACAUUACAUAUCACACACUGUUCCAAGCAUCUUUUUAGACCAUUGCAAAUGAUGCCUAUUGCAAACCCAUGUAAAAAUGGAUAUAAGAUAUAUUAUAACUUGCUAUUAGAAGAAGUUUUUUGACCAUUUAAAAUCUAUGAGACUGUAUACCCUUGCACUUUCAUUUGGCUGCAUUCAGAACAGUGGACUACGGUCAAAUUUGGCUGACCCACUUGAAUGCUUCCCCACAGGAUAUAUAUUCAGUGUCUAUAAGCGGAUUAAGACGGCAAGUUUUUUUGUGGGUUGCCAUAUUUGACCCACGGAAUAGUUAGUCCACUGUUCUGAACGUGGCCAUUUGACUAAGUUGUUUACAGCAUCAGAAAUGUAAUUUUCAUUGUAUUGAACAUAUAUCUUUUUAAAUAAACAUUUUUAUGUUGAUGG